rnacentral:rRNA from 1 species
AGAGUUUGAUCCUGGCUCAGGACGAACGCUGGCGGCGUGCCUAAUACAUGCAAGUAGAACGCACAGGAUGCACCGUAGUUUACUACACCGUAUUCUGUGAGUUGCGAACGGGUGAGUAACGCGUAGGUAACCUGCCUGGUAGCGGGGGAUAACUAUUGGAAACGAUAGCUAAUACCGCAUAAGAACAUUUACUGCAUGGUAGAUGUUUAAAAGGUGCAAAUGCAUCACUACCAGAUGGACCUGCGUUGUAUUAGCUAGUAGGUGAGGUAACGGCUCACCUAGGCGACGAUACAUAGCCGACCUGAGAGGGUGAUCGGCCACACUGGGACUGAGACACGGCCCAGACUCCUACGGGAGGCAGCAGUAGGGAAUCUUCGGCAAUGGGGGGAACCCUGACCGAGCAACGCCGCGUGAGUGAAGAAGGUUUUCGGAUCGUAAAGCUCUGUUGUUAAGGAAGAACGAGUGUGAGAAUGGAAAGUUCAUACUGUGACGGUACUUAACCAGAAAG